rnacentral:rRNA from 1 species
GAUGAACGCUGACAGAAUGCUUAACACAUGCAAGUCGAUGGGGAAGUGGUGCUUGCACCAUGGCAACCAUGGCGGACGGGUGAGUAACGCGUAAGGGACUUACCUGCAGGACUGGGAUAACAGGGGGAAACUCCUGACAAGACCGGAUAAUGUCAUGGAGCUGCAUGGCUUUAUGAUGAAAGGAGACGCCUGCGGAGAGCCUUGCGUCCUAUUAGCUAGUUGGUGAGGUAAUGGCUCACCAAGGCGAAGAUAGGUAGCCGGCCUGAGAGGGUGGACGGCCAAAAGGGGACUGAGAUACGGCCCUUACUCCUAAGGGAGGCAGGCGUGGGGAAUAUUGGACAAUGGGGGCAACCCUGAUCCAGCAAUUCUGUGUGCACGAAGAAGGUUUUCGGAUUGUAAAGUGCUUUCAGCAGGGAAGAAGUAAGUGACGGUACCUGCAGAAGAAGCGACGGCUAAAUACGUG